rnacentral:rRNA from 1 species
UACGUAGGGUGCGAGCGUUAAUCGGAAUUACUGGGCGUAAAGCGUGCGCAGGCGGUUUUGUAAGCCAGAUGUGAAAUCCCCGGGCUCAACCUGGGAAUGGCAUUUGGGACUGCAAGGCUGGAGUGUGGCAGAGGGGACUAGAAUUCCACGUGUAGCAGUGAAAUGCGUAGAGAUGUGGAGGAAUACCGAUGGCGAAGGCAGCCCCUGGGUUAGACUGACGCUCAUGCACGAAAGCGUGGGGAGCAAACAGGAUUAGAAACCCCUGUAGU